GAUGAAGAACGUAGCGAAAUGCGAUAAGUAAUGUGAAUUACAGAAUUCAGUGAAUCAUCGAAUCUUUGAACGCACAUUGCGCCCGCCAGUAUUCUGGCGGGCAUGCCUGUCUGAGCGUCAUUUCAACCCUCAUGCCCCUAGGGCGUGGUGUUGGGGAUCGGCCAAAGCCCGCGAGGGACGGCCGGCCCCUAAAUCUAGUGGCGGACCCGUCGUGGCCUCCUCUGCGAAGUAGUGAUAUUCCGCAUCGGAGAGCGACGAGCCCCUGCCGUUAAACCCCCAACUUUCCAAGGUUGACCUCAGAUCAGGUAGGAAUACCCGCUGAACUUAAGCAUAUCAAUAAGCGGAGGA
rnacentral:misc_RNA from 1 species